UAGAAUGCUUACCACAAAAUGGUAGAUCUCCUUGCCAUUUUCCACGAACAUUGCAUGUUAAACUGCCACUGCUGAACAAAUAAUAAUUAAAUGAAAUAAGAACCGAAAUUCUUUACUUUAUGAUAAACAAUGCACGACAAGAGAACGGAACACGAACACGUAAACAAAUAUCGUCAAUCAUACGAAUUAUAAAAUGGAGAAAGUUUAUAAUGAUUAUUUAAGUAUGACGUUUAAUAUUCCACAAAGAACGGAUAUUUCUAAAGAGUCACUUACCCAAAUAAUUCGUAUCCGGCAUCACAAGUAUAUGUCGCCAAAGUGCCUGUUGCUAAGGAUUCAUCGGACAAUGACACCUUGGCAUUCAUUGG